rnacentral:rRNA from 1 species
GACGAACGCUGGCGGCGUGCUUAACACAUGCAAGUCGACAUGAGUGGCGAACGGGUGAGUAAUACGGCGGUAACGUGCCCUCCUUUUUGGGAUAAGCCUUGGAAACGGGGUCUAAUACCGGAGAAAGGGGGAGGGGCUGGUGGCCUAUCAGCUUGUUGGUGGGGUGCUGGCCGACCAAGGCGGUGACGGGUAGCCGGGCUGAGAGGUUGACCUGGCACAUUGGGACGGAGAAAAGGCCUAGAGUACGACGGGAGGGAGAAGUGUGGGAUAUGGGACAAUGGGCGAAAGCCUGAUGCCGCGAGGCUGAGGAGGGGAUGAAGACUUUAGGGUUGUAAACCUCGUGAGGUAUCGAAGGGGUAGGUGGAGAAGAAGCGCCGGCUAACUACGUGCCAGCAGCCGCGGUAAUUC